UUCUGUAGUAUUGAAGGAUCAAGACUUAAAGAUCCCCGAAGAGAGACCCUUACUCAAGUCUCAGGAAGUCGUGGACCCCAGACACAGAGAGACCA
rnacentral:pre_miRNA from 14 species